CGUCCGAGUGAUACCAAAAACAGUUUGUGGACCAUUUGACACGAUCAAUUCUCGAUUGAAAUCACAGUCGAAUAAAGUUUAAGUAGCUUUUUUCACGGCGGCCACGGUAUACGAAAACCUACGCAAAUAUGAAACGGCAAUUGUUGCGCGACGUACGAUGGUAAUUGAGAUAGUCGGAAUUUACGAAUCAUCUAGACGCGAUCGCAAUUACAGUUCGUGUUACUGCCUGUGUACAUAUUACAAAUACAACAUUUUAACGUUUUCCGAGUUUUCUCCUUUUCAAGUCACAAUUCUCGGUGAGCUAUAGUCGGUUUUUGUAUUGUAACGUUAAAAACACAAUUAAAAAAAAAAAAUAUAUAUAUAUAUGUUUACA